GGCGGUUCUCAAGUGAUGCACCCCAGAAUCCGGCUCCCUCCUCUCUGGUUCUGGGUGAGUCACCUGAGAACUGCA
rfam:Myotis brandtii contig159661, whole genome shotgun sequence.